rnacentral:rRNA from 1 species
CGGGCUCAACCCGGGACUUGCCGUUGAAACUGAUAAUCUUGAGUGUAACUGAUGUGGGCGGAAUGUGUCAAGUAGCGGUGAAAUGCAUAGAUAUGACACAGAACACCGAUAGCGAAGGCAGCUCACAAAAUUACAACUGACACUGAGGCACGAAAGCGUGGGUAUCAAACAGGACUAGAUACCCUGGUAGUCCACGCUGUAAACGAUGAUCACUAGCUGUUUGCGAUACAUUGUAAGUGGUUAAGCGAAAGCGAUAAGUGAUCCACCUGGGGAGUACGUCGGCAACGAUGAAACUCAAAGGAAUUGACGGGGGCCCGCACAAGCGGAGGAGCAUGUGGUUUAAUUCGAUGAUACGCGAGGAACCUUACCUGGGCUUGAACGUAUGGUGCAUGAGUGUGAAAGCACUCUUUCCUUCACAGGGCUUCAUACGAGGUGCUGCAUGGUUGUCGUCAGCUCGUGCCGUGAGGUGUUAGGUUAAGUCCUGCAACGAGCGCAACCCCUGUUUUUAGUUGCCAGCAGGUUAUGCUGGGCACUCUAGAAAGACUGCCUGCGCAAGCAGAGAGGAAGGUGGGGAUGACGUCAAAUCAGUACGGCCCUUACGUCCAGGGCUACACACGUGCUACAAUGGUCGGCACAGAGGGUGGCUACCCGGCAACGGGAUGCUAAUCUCCAAAGUCGAUCUUAGUUCGGAUCGAAGUCUGCAACUCGACUUCGUGAAGUUGGAUUCGCUAGUAAUC